GUGCCAGCAGCCGCGGUGAUACGUAGGGUGCGAGCGUUGUCCGGAUUUAUUGGGCGUAAAGGGCUCGUAGGUGGUUGAUCGCGUCGGAAGUGUAAUCUUGGGGCUUAACCCUGAGCGUGCUUUCGAUACGGGUUGACUUGAGGAAGGUAGGGGAGAAUGGAAUUCCUGGUGGAGCGGUGGAAUGCGCAGAUAUCAGGAGGAACACCAGUGGCGAAGGCGGUUCUCUGGGCCUUUCCUGACGCUGAGGAGCGAAAGCGUGGGGAGCGAACAGGCUAAAAUACCCUGGUAGUCC
rnacentral:rRNA from 1 species